AUAUAUAUAUAUAUAGAGAGAGAGAGAGAGAGUGAAAUUGUUAAUACAAAUACAAAGUUUGAGCUAAAGCUACUACAGGUUCAGCCGAAUCCAGAACUACUGUCGUGGCUUUUCUAUUUUAUCGUACACUAAACGGAAGAACAAAGAACUUGCACCUUUGAUAUUGCUACAACAUGCUCAAUUUACAUAGCCAGUUGCUGGCAUAACACCAAAAAUUUGGAUAAACGUCAUUUGUUAAACUGUUUUUCUAUAAAUACAUGCUAAACACUAUUCUCAUACACAGACCUUAAGCCCAUAAAAAAUGGAUGGACCGAGUUAUGUAA